rnacentral:lncRNA from 1 species
GAACUAAACCUUCCAGAGCAAAAUCUUUUGAGUUGGUGUAAACCACAGAGUUUGAGAGAGGUAAGGUUAGGGAAUAAGAGUAGCGGUACUGCUUCAUCUUCAUUUUCAUUGGAAACAAUUGCCUCCACUUCACCCCCCCAUAUAUGUAGUUCCUCAAGUUGCACAAGAGCACUCGCCACAGAAAGCGGAAAAAGAUUUAGCAAUUUGUUGCAUCCAAUUACUUUCAAUUUCCUUAAUUUGGAAAACGAAUUUGCUGGAAGUUGGUCAGACCACAAUGCUCUUAUAUUAUCUAGUUCUCGUACAUACAGGGACUCCAAGCCUGGGAAUGCAACCUGUGCAAUUGAUGAUCCCUUUGGUUAAUAAAAUAUACAUAUACAUUCCUAAUAAUUAGACACAUGUAAAUAGAAAAUAAGAGGUUAAAGGAGAAUAUAUCAGUAUAACAAAGCAUAAAAUUUAAACUAGAUUGAAGAAGAUCAAGAAAGAGAAAAGAAAAGAAAAGAAAAGAAAAAGCCUCCAAAUUUUGAAGAUCCAAUGAAACUUAAAAAAAAAAAAAAAAAACCUCCAAAUUUUGCUUUGGAAAUGAGGUAAUAAGAGGAUUUUUUUUUCUUUUUUCUUUGCCUCUCUUUCAAAUUUGAUUAACUUCUAUGGAAAACGUAUUUUAACUAGGCAUGGAAAACGGAUUUUUUUUUUAACUUUUAUAUAAGAUACAAGUAAUACUUUAAAAAAAUUUUGAUAUCUAAAAAAAUUUUUGAAAAAUUAUUUUUAAAGAUAUAAGGUAAAUCUAUACUUUUUGAAUAAGAUGUUCUACCUUUAUAUACAAAUUUCUGAUUUUUUUUUUUUUUAAAGUGUAUCCAAAUGGACACUAAACUAUCUAGUUUUUAAUUGUUACAACUUUGAAUUGGAUUUUAUGGUAAACUAAUUUACAAUAUAAUGCAUGGAUUCAUCUUAGAUUCCAUCUAUAAAUUUUUUUAAUUAUCUAAUAUAAGACAUUAUAUUAAUGGGUUGAAUUAAUAAUGUAAUUAUAAUUUAUUUGGCAACUUUCUUCCUUCAAAUAUAUAAAAUGAAAAUAAAUUUUAAAAAAUAAAAAAAAUGAAAAAAAUAAAAAAAAUAAAAAAAGCUUUUUUUUUUUAUAGUUUUUCUAAGAUGAUUUUGUAGAGUACUGUUAGUUUAUAGUUUUAACUUUAUUUAUUGAGGUAUGUUCUUUUUUGAAACUCUUGUUUAGAUUUUAUAGAGCAUAUAAAUUUUAAGAAAAAAAAUGAAAUUUAAAUAAAAUAAGAAUAAAGAAAGGCAAAAGGUGGAUGAAUUUUUUUAAGGCAAAAGUUUGAUAACUUGGCACUAUCAUGUAAUGGGUGAAAUUUUUAAAUACUCAACAAAGGCUAGUGAAAUUUAAAUUAAAAGCUUGACAUGUACUUUUUCGACCAAAAUCUUUGGAGUUGGUGUAAAGUUUUGAGUAUGAGAGAGGUUAGUCUAGGGAAUACUAUUGCACAUUAGUUCAAAUAAAACAUCAACAUUUUUUUUUGUUAAAUUCUAAAUGAAAACCACUAUAAAUUAAUGCGAUUUUGUAUGCUCAAUUAAAUAAACUCGUUCUUAAGGCAUCACAUGAAGUGUUUAAGUCUAAUUAAUAUUAAUUAAAAAUGAUUAUAUUAAAAAAAAUCCAAAGUAAUUUAUUUUUAUCAUAAGUCAAGUAGGAUAGUUUUAUAAAUAAUUGGUUCUAGUUUCUGGUAUUAUUGUACACAAUCGCUAUGUUUGUUGCACCUCAAAAAAAUCUACUACUUGUAAUUAAUUGUAUAUUAUUCUCCAUAUUCACAUCAGUUUAUGUAGUAUGAUUAAUUUAGCAACAAAAUAUAAGUUUACUUGAAAUCGCUUUAAAUUCCUAUGAUAUUAAAGUUUAAGAUUAAAACAAUGUAACAUUAGCCAAAAAGAUUAAGAUCUAUAAUGUAACAUAUAAAAUUUAGAAAAUUCAAGGAAGGGUAAACUCGCACCUGUUCUACCCAGAAGAGUGGCUCAAGUUCACAUUCAGAAUUUAUUUGUUGAAAGAGUAUCUCCACUUUAUCACAAUCGAGCACUUCCAAUUCUUUCAGAAGUGGCCAACUUGAACUAAACCUUCUAGAGCAAAAUCUUUUGAGUUGGUGUAAACCAGAGAGAGUGAGAGAGGUAAGGUUAGGGAAUAAGAGUAAAGGUGCUGCUUCAUCUUUAUUUUCAUUGGCAACAAUUGCCUCCACUCCACUCUCCGAUAUAUAUAGGUAAUCAAGUUGCACAAGAGCACUCGCCACAGAAACCGGAAAAAGGUUUAGCAAUUUGUUGCAUCCCCUUACUUGCAAUUUCCUUAAUUUGGAAAAUGAAUUUGCUGGAAGUUGGUCAGGCCACAAUGCUCUUAUAUUAUCUAGUCCACGUACAGACAAGGACUCCAAGCCUGGGAGUGCAACCUGUGCAAUUGAUGAUCCCUUUAGUUAAUAAUAUAUACAUAUACAUUCCUAAUAAUUAGACACAUGUAAAUAGAAAAUAAGAGGUUAAAGGAGAAUAUAUCAGUAUAACAAAGCACAAAAUUUAAACUAGAUUCAAGAAGAUCAAGAAAGAGAAAAGAAAAGAAAAAGCCUCCAGAUUUUGAAGAUACAAUGAAACUUAAAAAAAAAAAAAAAAAACCUCCAAAUUUUCCUUUCGAAAUGAGGUAAUAAGAGGAUUUUUCUUUGCCUCUCUUUCAAAUUUGAUUAACUUCUAUGGAAAACGUAUUUUAACUAGUUAUGGAAAACAUAUUUUUUUUUUUAAACUUUUAUAUAAGAUACAAGUAAUACUUUAAAAAAAUUGUGACAUCUAAAAAAUUUUUUGAAAAAUUAUUUUUAAAGAAAUAAGGUAAAUCUAUACUUUUUGUAUAAGAUGUUCUACCUUUAUAUACAAAUUUCUGAUUUUUUUUUUUUAAAGUGUAUCCAAAUGGACACUAAACUAUCUAGUUUUUAAUUGUUACAACUUUGAAUUGCAUUUUAUGGUAAACUAAUUUACAAGUUAAUGCAUGGAUUCAUCUUAGAUUCCAUCUAUAAAUUUUUUUAAUUAUCUAAUAUAAGACAUUAUAUUAAUGGGUUGAAUUAAUAAUGUAAUUAUAAUUUAUUUGGCAACUUUCUUCCUUCAAAUAUAUAAAAUGAAAAUAAAUUUUAAAAAAUAAAAAAAAAAUGAAAAACAUAAAAAAUAAAAAAAGAUUUUUUUUUAUAGUUUUUCUAAGAUGAUUUUGUAGAGUACUGUUAGUUUAUAGUUUUAACUUUAUUUCAUUUUACUUUUAACUUUAUUUAUUGAGGUAUGUUCUUUUUUGAAACUCUUGUUUAGAUUUUAUAGAGAAUAUAAAUUUUAAGAAAAAAAAUGAAAUUUAAAUAAAAUAAGAAUAAAGAAAGGCAAAAGGUGGAUGAAUUUUUUUAAGGCAAAAGUUUGAUAACUUGGCACUAUCAUGUAAUGGGUGAAAUUUUUAAAUACUCAACAAAGGCUAGUGAAAUUUAAAUUAAAAGCUUGAUAUGUACUUUUUCGACCAAAAUCUUUGGAGUUGGUGUAAAGUUUUGAGUAUGAGAGAGGUUAGUCUAGGGAAUACUAUUGCACAUUAGUUCAAAUAAAACAUCAACAUUUUUUUUUGUUAAAUUCUAAAUGAACACCACUAUAAAUUAAUGCGAUUUUGUAUGCUCAAUUAAAUAAACUCGUUCUUAAGGCAUCACAUGAAGUGUUUAAGUCUAAUGAAUAUUAAUUAAAAAUGAUUAUAUUAAAAAAAUCCAAAGUAAUUUAUUUUUAUCAUAAGUCAAGUAGGAUAGUUUUAUAAAUAAACUGUUCUAGUUUCUAGUAUAAUUGUACACAAUCGCUAUGUUUGUUGCACCUCCAAAAAAUCUACUACUUGUAAUUAAUUGUAUAUUAUUCUCCAUAUUCACAUCAGUUUAUGUAGUAUGAUUAAUUUAGCAACAAAAUAUAAGUUUACUUGAAAUCGCUUUAAAUUCCUAUGAUAUUAAAGUUUAAGAUUAAAACAAUGUAACAUUAGCCAAAAAGACUAAGAUCUAUAAUGUAACAUAUAAAAUUUAGAAAAUUCAAGGAAGGGUAAACUCGCACCUGUUCUACCCAGAAGAGUGGCUCAAGUUCACAUUCAGAAUUUAUUUGUUGAAAGAGUAUCUCCACUUUAUCACAAUCGAGCACUUCCAAUUCUUUCAGAAGUGGCCAGCUUGAACUAAACCUUCUAGAGCAAAAUCUUUUCAGUUGGUGUAAACCGGAGAGUGUGAGAGAGGUAAGGUUAGGGAAUAAGAGUAAAGGUGCUGCUUCAUCUUCAUUUUCAUUGGCAACAAUUGCCUCCACUCCACUCUCCGAUAUAUAUAGGUCCUCAAGAUGCACAAGAGCACUCGCCACAGAAACCGGAAAAAGGUUUAGCAGUUUGUUGCAUCCCCUUACUUGCAAUUUCCUUAAUUUGGAAAAUGAAUUUGCUGGAAGUUGGUCAGGCCACAAUGCUCUUAUAUUAUCUAGUCCGCGUACAGACAAGGACUCCAACCCUGGGAGUGCAACCUCUGCAAUUGAUGAUCCCUUUAGUUAAUAAUAUAUACAUAUACAUUCCUAAUAAUUAGACACAUGUAAAUAGAAAAUAAGAGGUUAAAGGAGAAUAUAUCAGUAUAACAAAGCACAAAAUUUAAACUAGAUUCAAGAAGAUCAAGAAAGAGAAAAGAAAAGAAAAAGCCUCCAGAUUUUGAAGAUACAAUGAAACUUAAAAAAAAAAAAAAAAACCUUCAAAUUUUCCUUUCGAAAUGAGCUAAUAAGAGGAUUUUUUUUUUCUUUUUUCUUUGCAUCUCUUUCAAAUUUGAUUAACUUCUAUGGAAAACGUAUUUUAACUAGUUAUGGAAAACGGAUAUUUUUUUUUUAACUUUUAUAUAAGAUACAAGUAAUACUUUAAAAAAAUUGUGAUAUCUAAAUAAUUUUUUGAAAAAUUAUUUUGAAAGAAAUAAGGUAAAUCUAUACUUUUUGUAUAAGAUGUUCAACCUUUAUAUACAAAUUUCUAAUUUUUUUUUUUAAAGUGUAUCCAAAUGGACACUAAACUAUCUAGUUUUUAAUUGUUACAACUUUGAAUUGGAUUUUAUGGUAAACUAAUUUACAAGUUAAUGCAUGGAUUCAUCUUAGAUUCCAUCUAUAAAUUUUUUUAAUUAUCUAAUAUAAGACAUUAUAUUAAUGGGUUGAAUUAAUAAUGUAAUUAUAAUUUAUUUGGCAACUUUCUUCCUUCAAAUAUAUAAAAUGAAAAUAAAUUUUAAAAAAUAAAAAAAAUGAAAAAAAUAAAAAAUAAAAAAAGAUUUUUUUUAUAGUUUUUCUAAGGUGAUUUUGUAGAGUAUUGUUAGUUUAUAGUUUUAACUUUAUUUCAUUUUACUUUUAACUUUAUUUAUUGAGGUAUGUUCUUUUUUGCAACUCUUGUUUAGAUUUUAUAGAGAAUAUAAAUUUUAAGAAAAAAAAUGAAAUUUAAAUAAAAUAAGAAUAAAGAAAGGCAAAAGGUGGAUGAAUUUUCUUAAGGCAAAAGUUUGAUAACUUGGCACUAUCAUGUAAUGGGUGAAAUUUUUAAAUACUCAACAAAGGCUAGUGAAAUUUAAAUUAAAAGCUUGACAUGUACCUUUUCGACCAAAAUCUUUGGAGUUGGUGUAAAGUUUUGAGUAUGAGAGAGGUUAGUAUAGGGAAUAUUAUUGCACAUUAGUUCAAAUAAAACAUCAACAUUUUUUUUUGUUAAAUUCUAAAUGAACACCACUAUAAAUUAAUGCGAUUUUGUAUGCUCAAUUAAAUAAACUCGUUCUUAAGGCAUCACAUGAAGUGUUUAAGUCUAAUUAAUAUUAAUUAAAAAUGAUUAUAUUAAAAAAAAUCCAAAGUAAUUUAUUUUUAUCAUAAGUCAAGUAGGAUAGUUUUAUAAAUAAUUGGUUCUAGUUUCUAGUAUUAUUGUACACAAUCGCUAUGUUUGUUGCACCUCCAAAAAAUCUACUACUUGUAAUUAAUUGUAUAUUAUUCUCCAUAUUCACAUCAGUUUAUGUAGUAUGAUUAAUUUAGCAACAAAAUAUAAGUUUACUUGAAAUCGCUUUAAAUUCCUAUGAUAUUAAAGUUUAAGAUUAAAACAAUGUAACAUUAGCCAAAAAGAUUAAGAUCUAUAAUGUAACAUAUAAAAUUUAGAAAAUUCAAGGAAGGGUAAACUCGCACCUGUUCUACCCAGAAGAGUGGCUCAAGUUCACAUUCAGAAUUUAUUUGUUGAAAGAGUAUCUCCACUUUAUCACAAUCGAGCACUUCCAAUUCUUUCAGAAGUGGCCAGCUUGAACUAAACCUUCUAGAGCAAAAUCUUUUGAGUUGGUGUAAACCGGAGAGUGUGAGAGAGGUAAGGUUAGGGAAUGAGAGUAAAGGUGCUGCUUCAUCUUCAUUUUCAUUGGCAACAAUUGCCUCCACUCCACUCUCCGAUAUAUAAAGGUCCUCAAGUUGCACAAGAGCACUCGCCACAGAAACCGGAAAAAGGUUUAGCAAUUUGUUGCAUCCCCUUCCUUGCAAUUUCCUUAAUUUGGAAAAUGAAUUUGCUGGAAGUUGGUCAGGCCACAAUGCUCUUAUAUUAUCUAGUCCACGUACAGACAAGGACUCCAAGCCUGGGAGUGCAACCUGUGCAAUUGAUGAUCCCUUUAGUUAAUAAUAUAUACAUAUACAUUCCUAAUAAUUAGACACAUGUAAAUAGAAAAUAAGAGGUUAAAGGAGAAUAUAUCAGUAUAACAAAGCACAAAAUUUAAACUAGAUUCAAGAAGAUCAAGAAAGAGAAAAGAAAAGAAAAAGCCUCCAGAUUUUGAAGAUACAAUGAAACUUAAAAAAAAAAAAAAAAAAACUUCCAAAUUUUCCUUUCGAAAUGAGGUAAUAAGAGGAUUUUUUUUUUCUUUUUUCUUUGCCUCUCUUUCAAAUUUGAUUAACUUCUAUGGAAAACGUAUUUUAACUAGUUAUGGAAAACCGAUUUUUUUUUUUUUAACUUUUAUAUAAGAUACAAGUAAUACUUUAAAAAAAUUGUGAUAUCUAAAUAAUUUUUUGAAAAAUUAUUUUUAAAGAAAUAAGGUAAAUCUAUACUUUUUGUACAAGAUGUUCUACCUUUAUAUACAAAUUUCUGAUUUUUUUUUUAAAAGUGUAUCCAAAUGGACACUAAACUAUCUAGUUUUUAAUUGUUACAACUUUGAAUUGGAUUUUAUGGUAAACUAAUUUACAAGUUAAUGCAUGGAUUCAUCUUAGAUUCCAUCUAUAAAUUUUUUUAAUUAUCUAAUAUAAGACAUUAUAUUAAUGAGUUGAAUUAAUAAUGUAAUUAUAAUUUAUUUGGCAACUUUCUUCCUUCAAAUAUAUAAAAUGAAAAUAAAGUUUAAAAAAUAAAAAAAAUGAAAAAAAUAAAAAAUAAAAAAUGAUUUUUUUUAUAGUUUUUCUAAGAUGAUUUUGUAGAGUACUGUUAGUUUAUAGUUUUAACUUUAUUUCAUUUUACUUUUAACUUUAUUUAUUGAGGUAUGUUCUUUUUUGAAACUCUUGUUUAGAUUUUAUAGAGAAUAUAAAUUUUAAGAAAAAAAAUGAAAUUUAAAUAAAAUAAGAAUAAAGAAAGGCAAAAGGUGGAUGAAUUUUUUUAAGGCAAAAGUUUGAUAACUUGGCACUAUCAUGUAAUGGGUGAAAUUUUUAAAUACUCAACAAAGGCUAGUGAAAUUUAAAUUAAAAGCUUGACAUGUACCUUUUCGACCAAAAUCUUUGGAGUUGGUGUAAAGUUUUGAGUAUGAGAGAGGUUAGUCUAGGGAAUAUUAUUGCACAUUAGUUCAAAUAAAACAUCAACAUUUUUUUUUUGUUAAAUUCUAAAUGAACACCGCUAUAAAUUAAUGCGAUUUUGUAUGCUCAAUUAAAUAAACUUGUUCUUAAGGCAUCACAUGAAGUGUUUAAGUCUAAUUAAUAUUAAUUAAAAAUGAUUAUAUUAAAAAAAAUCCAAAGUAAUUUAUUUUUAUCAUAAGUCAAGUAGGAUAGUUUUAUAAAUAAUUGGUUCUAGUUUCUAGUACUAUUGUACACAAUCGCUAUGUUUGUUGCACCUCCAAAAAAUCUACUACUUGUAAUUAAUUGUAUAUUAUUCUCCAUAUUCACAUCAGUUUAUGUAGUAUGAUUAAUUUAGCAACAAAAUAUAAGUUUACUUGAAAUCGCUUUAAAUUCCUAUGAUAUUAAAGUUUAAGAUUAAAACAAUGUAACAUUAGCCAAAAAGAUUAAGAUCUAUAAUGUAACAUAUAAUAUUUAGAAAAUUCAAGGAAGGGUAAACUCGCACCUGUUCUACCCAGAAGAGUGGCUCAAGUUCACAUUCAUAAUUUAUUUGUUGAAAGAGUAUCUCCACUUUAUCACAAUCGAGCACUUCCAAUUCUUUCAGAAGUGGCCAGCUUGAACUAAACCUUCUAGAGAAAAAUCUUUUGAGUUGGUGUAAACCGGAGAGUGUAAGAGAGGUAAGGUUAGGGAAUAAGAGUAAAAGUGCUGCUUCAUCUUCAUUUUCAUUGGCAACAAUUGCCUCCACUCCACUUUCCGAUAUAUAUAGGUCCUCAAGUUGCACAAGAGCACUCGCCACAGAAACCGGAAAAAGGUUUAGCAAUUUGUUGCAUCCCCUUACUUGCAAUUUCCUUAAUUUGGAAAAUGAAUUUGCUGGAAGUUGGUCAGACCACAAUGCUCUUAUAUUAUCUAGUCCGCGUACAGACAAGGACUCCAAACCUGGGAGUGCAACCUGUGCAAUUGAUGAUCCCUUUAGUUAAUAAUAUAUACAUAUACAUUCCUAAUAAUUAGACACAUGUAAAUAGAAAAUAAGAGGUUAAAGGAGAAUAUAUCAGUAUAACAAAGCACAAAAUUUAAACUAGAUUCAAGAAGAUCAAGAAAGAGAAAAGAAAAGAAAAAGCCUCCAGAUUUUGAAGAUACAAUGAAACUUAACAAAAAAAAAAAAAAACCACCAAAUUUUCCUUUCGAAAUGAGGUAAUAAGAGGAUUUUUUUUUUUUCUUUUUUCUUUGCCUCUCUUUCAAAUUUGAUUAACUUCUAUGGAAAACGUAUUUUAACUAGUUAUGGAAAACAUAUUUUUUUUUUAAAAAACUUUUCUAUAAGAUACAAGUAAUACUUUAAAAAAAUUGUGAUAUCUAAAAAAUUUUUUGAAAAAUUAUUUUUAAAGAAAUAAGGUAAAUCUAUACUUUUUGUAUAAGAUGUUCUACCUUUAUAUACAAAUUUCUGAUUUUUUUUUUAAAAGUGUAUCCAAAUGGACACUAAACUAUCUAGUUUUUAAUUGUUACAACUUUGAAUUGGAUUUUAUGGUAAACUAAUUUACAAGUUAAUGCAUGGAUUCAUCUUAGAUUCCAUCUAUAAAUUUUUUUAAUUAUCUAAUAUAAGACAUUAUAUUAAUGGGUUGAAUUAAUAAUGUAAUUAUAAUUUAUUUGGCAAGUUUCUUCCUUCAAAUAUAUAAAAUGAAAAUAAAUUUUAAAAAAUAAAAAAAAUGAAAAAAAUAAAAAAUAAAAAAAGAUUUUUUUUAUAGUUUUUCUAAGAUGAUUUUGUAGAGUACUGUUAGUUUAUAGUUUUAACUUUAUUUCAUUUUACUUUUAACUUUAUUUAUUGAGGUAUGUUCUUUUUUGAAACUCUUGUUUAGAUUUUAUAGAGGAUAUAAAUUUUCAGAAAAAAAAAAUUAAAUUUAAAUAAAAUAGGAAUAAAGAAAGGCAAAAGGUGGAUGAAUUUUUUUAAGGCAAAAGUUUGAUAACUUGGCACUAUCAUGUAAUGGGUGAAAUUUUUAAAUACUCAACAAAGGCUAGUGAAAUUUAAAUUAAAAGCUUGACAUGUACCUUUUCGACCAAAAUCUUUGGAGUUGGUGUAAAGUUUUGAGUAUGAGAGAGGUUAGUCUAGGGAAUAUUAUUGCACAUUAGUUCAAAUAAAACAUCAACAUUUUUUUUUUUGUUAAAUUCUAAAUGAACACCACUAUAAAUUAAUGCGAUUUGUAUGCUCAAUUAAAUAAACUCGUUCUUAAGGCAUCACAUGAAGUGUUUAAGUCUAAUUAAUAUUAAUUAAAAAUGAUUAUUUUAAAAAAAUCCAAAGUAAUUUAUUUUUAUCAUAAGUCAAGUAGGAUAGUUUUAUAAAUAAUUGGUUCUAGUUUCUAGUAUUAUUGUACACAAUCGCUAUGUUUGUUGCACCUCCAAAAAAUCUACUACUUGUAAUUAAUUGUAUAUUAUUCUCCAUAUUCACAUCAGUUUAUGUAGUAUGAUUAAUUUAGCAACAAAAUAUAAGUUUACUUGAAAUCGCUUUAAAUUCCUAUGAUAUUAAAGUUUAAGAUUAAAACAAUGUAACAUUAGCCAAAAAGACUAAGAUCUAUAAUGUAACAUAUAAAAUUUAGAAAAUUCAAGGAAGGGUAAACUCGCACCUGUUCUACCCAGAAGAGUGGCUCAAGUUCACAUUCAGAAUUUAUUUGUUGAAAGAGUAUCUCCACUUUAUCACAAUCGAGCACUUCCAAUUCUUUCAGAAGUGGCCAGCUUGAACUAAACCUUCUAGAGCAAAAUCUUUUGAGUUGGUGUAAACCGGAGAGUGUGAGAGAGGUAAGGUUAGGGAAUGAGAGUAAAGGUGCUGCUUCAUCUUCAUUUUCAUUGGCAACAAUUGCCUCCACUCCACUCUCCGAUAUAUAAAGGUCCUCAAGUUGCACAAGAGCACUCGCCACAGAAACCGGAAAAAGGUUUAGCAAUUUGUUGCAUCCCCUUACUUGCAAUUUCCUUAAUUUGGAAAAUGAAUUUGCUGGAAGUUGGUCAGGCCACAAUGCUCUUAUAUUAUCUAGUCCGCGUACAGACAAGGACUCCAAACCUGGGAGUGCAACCUGUGCAAUUGAUGAUCCCUUUAGUUAAUAAUAUAUACAUAUACAUUCCUAAUAAUUAGACACAUGUAAAUAGAAAAUAAGAGGUUAAAGGAGAAUAUAUCAGUAUAACAAAGCACAAAAUUUAAACUCUAUUCAAGAAGAUCCAGAAAGAGAAAAGAAAACGCCUUUUGAUUUUGAAGAUCCAAUGAAACUUUAAAAAAAAAAAAAAAAACCUCCAAAUUUUGCUUUCCAAAUGAGGUAAUAGGAGGAUAUUUUUAUUUUAUUUUUUCUUUGCCUCUCUUUCAAAUUUGAUUAACUUCCAUGGAAAACGUAUUUUAACUAGCCAUGGAAAAUGGAUUUUUUUUUUAAAACUUUUAUAUAAGAUACAAGAACUCUUAGAGGGUUACAUUAUGUAAGUAAUACUUUAAAAAAAAUGUUUAAAAAUAUUGUGAUAUCCAAAAAUUUUACUACCUCGGAUUUUAAAUUUUAAAAAAAUUAUUUUUAAAGAAAUAAGGUAAAUCUAUACUUUUUCGUAUAAGAUAUUCUACCUUUAUAUACAAAUUUCUGAUUUUUUUUUUAAAGUGUAUCCAAAUGGACACUAAACUAUCUAGUUUCGAAUUUUUACAACUUUGAAUUGGAUUUUAUGGUAAACUAAUUGACAAUAUAACGCAUGGAUUCAUCUUAGAUUCCAUCUAUAAAUUUUUUAAUUAUCUAAUAUAAGACAUUAUAUUAAUGGGUUGAAUUAAUAAUGUAAUUAUAAUUUAUUUGGCAACUUUCUUCCUUCAAAUAUAUAAGACGAAAAUAUAUUUUAAAAAAUAAAAAAGAAUGAUAAAAAAUAGAAAAUAAAAAUAGCUUAUUUUAUUGUUUUUCUAAGAUGAUUUUGUAGAGUGUUAGUUUAUAGUUUAACUUUAUUUCAUUUUACUUUUAACAUUAUUUAUUGAGGUAUGUUCUUUUUUGAAACUCUUGUUUAGAUUUUAUAGAGAAUAUAAAUUUUAAGAAAAAAAAUGAAAUUUAAAUAAAAUAAGAAUAAAGAAAGGCAAAAGGUGGAUGAAUUUUUUGAAGGCAAAAGUUUGAUAAUUUGGCACUGUCAUGUAAUGGGUGAAAUUUUUAAAUACUCAACAAAGGCUAGUGAAAUUUAAAUUAAAACCUUGACAUGUACCUUUUCGACCAAAAUCUUUGGAGUUGGUGUAAAGUUUUGAGUAUGAGAGAGGUUAGUCUAGGGAAUAUUAUUGCACAUUAGUUCAAAUAAAACAUCAACAUUUUUUUUUGUUAAAUUCUAAAUGAACACCACUAUAAAUUAAUGCGAUUUUGUAUGCUCAAUUAAAUAAACUCGUUCUUAAGGCAUCACAUGAAGUGUUUAAGUCUAAUUAAUAUUAAUUAAAAAUGAUUAUAUCAAAAAAAAUCCAAAGUAAUUUUUUUUUAUCAUAAGUCAAGUAGGAUAGUUUUAUAAAUAAUUGGUUCUAGUUUCUAGUAUUAUUGUACACAAUCGCUAUGUUUGUUGCACCUCCAAAAAAUCUACUACUUGUAAUUAAUUGUAUAUUAUUCUCCAUAUUCACAUCAGUUUAUGUAGUAUGAUUAAUUUAGCAACAAAAUAUAAGUUUACUUGAAAUCGCUUUAAAUUCCUAUGAUAUUAAAGUUUAAGAUUAAAACAAUGUAACAUUAGCCAAAAAGACUAAGAUCUAUAAUGUAACAAAUAAAAUUUAGAAAAUUCAAGGCAGGGUAAACUCGCACCUGUUCUACCCAGAAGAGUGGCUCAAGUUCACAUUCAGAAUUUAUUUGUUGAAAGAGUAUCUCCACUUUAUCACAAUCGAGCACUUCCAAUUCUUUCAGAAGUAGCCAGCUUGAACUAAACCUUCUAGAGCAAAAUCUUUUGAGUUGGUGUAAACCGGAGAGUGUGAGAGAGGUAAGGUUAGGGAAUAAGAGUAAAGGUGCUGCUUCAUCUUCAUUUUCAUUGGCAACAAUUGCCUCCACUCCACUCUCCGAUAUAUAUAGGUCCUCAAGUUGCACAAGAGCACUCGCCACAGAAACCCGAAAAAGGUUUAGCAAUUUGUUGAAUCCCCUUACAUGCAAUUUCCUUAAUUUGGAAAAUGAAUUUGUUGGAAGUUGGUCAGGCCACAAUGCUCUUAUAUUAUCCAGUCCGCAUACAUACAAGGACUCCAAGCCUUGGAGUGCAACCUGUGCAAUUGAUAAUCCCUUUGGUUAAUAAUAUAUACAUAUACAUUCCUAAUGAUUAGACACAUGUAAAUAGAAAAUAAGAGGUUAAAGGAGAAUAUAUCAGUAUAACAAAGCACAAAAUUUAAACUAGAUUAAAGAAGAUCAAGAAAGAGAAAAGAAAAGAAAAAGCCUCCAGAUUUUGAAGAUACAAUGAAACUUAAAAAAAAAAAAAAAAAACCUCCAAAUUUUCCUUUCGAAAUGAGGUAAUAAGAGGAUUUUUUUUUUCUUUUUUCUUUGCCUCUCUUUCAAAUUUGAUUAACUUCUAUGGAAAACGUAUUUUAACUAGUUAUGGAAAACGGAUUUUUUUUUUUAAAAACUUUUAUAUAAGAUACAAGUAAUACUUUAAAAAAAUUGUGAUAUCUAAAAAAUUUUUUGAAAAAUUAUUUUUAAAGAAAUAAGGUAAAUCUAUACUUUUUGUAUAAGAUGUUCUACCUUUGUAUUCAAAUUUCUGAUUUUUUUUUUUUAAAGUGUAUCCAAAUGCACACUAAACUAUCUAGUUUUUAAUUGUUACAACUUUGAAUUGGAUUUUAUGGUAAACUAAUUUACAAGUUAAUGCAUAGAUUCAUCUUAGAUUCCAUCUAUAAAUUUUUUUAAUUAUCUAAUAUAAGACAGUAUAUUAAUGGGUUGAAUUAAUAAUGUAAUUAUAAUUUAUUUGGCAACUUUCUUCCUUCAAAUAUAUAAAAUGAAAAUAAAUUUUAAAAAAUAAAAAAUAAAAAAAAGAUUUUUUUUAUAGUUUUUCUAAGAUGAUUUUGUAGAGUUCUGUUAGUUUAUAGUUUUCACUUUAUUUAUUGAGGUAUGUUCUUUUUUGAAACUCUUGUUUAGAUUUUAUUGAGAAUAUAAAUUUUAAGAAAAAAAAUAAAAUUUAAAUAAAAUAAGAAUAAAGAAAGGCAAAAGCUGGAUGAAUUUUUUUAAGGCAAAAGUUUGAUAAUUUGGCACUCUCAUGUAAUGGGUGAAAUUUUUAAAUACUCAACAAAGGCUAGUGAAAUUUAAAUUAAAACCAUGACAUGUACCUUUUAGACCAAAAUCUUUGGAGUUGGUGUAAUGUUUUGAGUAUGAGAGAGGUUAGUCUAGGGAAUAUUAUUGCACAUUAGUUCAAAUAAAACAUCAACAUUUUUUUUUGUUAAAUUCUAAAUGAACACCACUAUAAAUUAAUGCGAUUUUGUAUGCUCAAUUAAAUAAACUCGUUCUUAAGGCAUCACAUGAAGUGUUUAAGUCUAAUUAAUAUUAAUUAAAAAUGAUUAUAGUAAAAAAAAUCCAAAGUAAUUUUUUUUUAUCAUAAGUCAAGUAGGAUAGUUUUAUAAAUAAUUGGUUCUAGUUUCUAGUAUUAUUGUAGACAAUCGCUAUGUUUGUUGCACCUCCAAAAAAUCUACUACUUGUAAUUAAUUGUAUAUUAUUCUCCAUAUUCACAUCAGUUUAUGUAGUAUGAUUAAUUUAGCAACAAAAUAUAAGUUUACUUGAAAUGGCUUUAAAUUCCUAUGAUAUUAAAGUUUAAGAUUAAAACAAUGUAACAUUAGCAAAAAAGAUUAAGAUCUAUAAUGUAACAAAUAAAAUUUAGAAAAUUCAAGGCAGGGUAAACUCGCACCUGUUCUACCCAGAAGAGUGGCUCAAGUUCACAUUCAGAAUUUAUUUGUUGAAAGAGUAUCUCCACUUUAUCACAAUCGAGCACUUCCAAUUCUUUCAGAAGUAGCCAGCUUGAACUAAACCUUCUAGAGCAAAAUCUUUUGAGUUGGUGUAAACCGGAGAGUGUGAGAGAGGUAAGGUUAGGGAAUAAGAGUAAAGGUGCUGCUUCAUCUUCAUUUUCAUUGGCAACAAUUGCCUCCACUCCACUCUCUGAUAUAUAUAGGUCCUCAAGUUGCACAAGAGCACUCGCCACAGAAACCCGAAAAAGGUUUAGCAAUUUGUUGAAUCCCCUUACAUGCAAUUUCCUUAAUUUGGAAAAUGAAUUUGUUGGAAGUUGGUCAGGCCACAAUGCUCUUAUAUUAUCCAGUCCGCAUACAUACAAGGACUCCAAGCCUGGGAGUGCAACCUGUGCAAUUGAUAAUCCCUUUGGUUAAUAAUAUAUACAUAUACAUUCCUAAUAAUUAGACACAUGUAAAUAGAAAAUAAGAGGUUAAAGG